rnacentral:rRNA from 1 species
GUGCCAGCCGCCGCGGUAAUACGGAGGAUGCAAGCGUUAUCCGGAUUUAUUGGGUUUAAAGGGUGCGCAGGCGGCUUGUUAAGCGGGAGGUGAAAUGCCGGCGCUCAACGUCGGAAGUGCCUCCCGAACUGGUGAGCUUGAAUGACUCUGCCGUGGGAGGAAUGUGUAGUGUAGCGGUGAAAUGCUUAGAGAUUACACAGAACACCGAUUGCGAAGGCAUCUCACGAAGGGUUGAUUGACGCUGAGGCACGAAAGCGUGGGGAUCAAACAGGAUUAGAUACCCUGGUAGUCCACGCAGUAAACGAUGAUGGCUAACCGCUGGGUCGUUCGAUUCAGUGGCCAAGCGAAAGCGAUAAGCCAUCCACCUGGGGAGUACGACCGCAAGGUUGAAACUCAAAGGAAUUGACGGGGGCCCGCACAAGCGGAGGAACAUGUGGUUUAAUUCGAUGAUACGCGAGGAACCUUACCCGGGCUCGAACGGCUGGUGAACGACACAGAGAUGUGAAGGUCCUUCGGGACGCCAGUCGAGGUGCUGCAUGGUUGUCGUCAGCUCGUGCCGUGAGGUGUCGGCUCAAGUGCCAUAACGAGCGCAACCCUUGCCGUCAGUUACCAUCAAGUAGCGUUGGGGACUCUGGCGGGACUGCCACCGCAAGGUGUGAGGAAGGGGGGGAUGACGUCAAAUCAGCACGGCCCUUACGUCCGGGGCGACACACGUGUUACAAUGGCGGCCACAGAGGGGCACUACCUGGCGACAGGAUGGGAAUCUCGAAAAGCCGUCUCAGUCCGGAUCGGAGUCUGCAACCCGACUCCGUGAAGCUGGAUUCGCUAGUAAUCGCGCAUCAGCCAUGGCGCGGUGAAUACGUUCCCGGGCCUUGUACACACCGCCCGU